rnacentral:rRNA from 1 species
CAGAGACGUGAAAUCCUGCUGGUUGAACCGGAGAGAGUUGACGUAGCUCGGUGGCUAAGCUUUCUGGAUGCCCACUUGCUGGGUGUUCGGGUUGCUAUGUCCGCUUAUAGCUGCGCUGGCAGCGUUGUCCGAGCUUUCUGACCUGGCUAGUGUUGCCCACUUCGGUGGUGUCUUGCUGCCGGCGAAGUCUGCCGUGUUAACGUUUAACUUGCUUAAUUGCGAGUGCCAGUGUGAAGGUCAGCCACCUUUCCGUCCCGUCUUGAAACACGGACCGAGGAGUGUAACUUGUACGCGAGUCAGAGGGUGGUAAACCCAACGGCGAAAUGAAAGUAAAUGUCGAUUUAUCGGCUGACAUGGGAUCCGUGCUUUUGUGCGGCGCACCAUGGCCCUGUCUUGAGAGCUUGCUCUUGGGCAGAGGUAGAGCGUACAGGUUGCGACCCGAAAGAUGGUGAACUAUACUUGAGCAGGACGAAGCCAGAGGAAACUCUGGUGGAAGUCCGUAUCGGUUCUGACGUGCAAAUCGAUCGAUAGACUUGAGUAUAGGGGCGAAAGACUAAUCGAACCAUCUAGUAGCUGG